GUUGUUUCCACAGUUUGGCUAUUGUACAUAGAGCUGCAAUGACCAUGAGAGUGCUAGUGUUAAUAUCUCUUCAAGAUCCUGAUUUGGCCAACAGGAAUAGGAAAAGAUGCUCAACAUCACCCAUCAUCAAAGAAAUGCAAAUCAAAACCACAGUGAAACAGCACCUCACACUGCUUAGGAUGGCUAUUAUAUAAAACAACAGCAAACCAAAAACCCCAAAAGACAAGUGUUGGCCAGGCUAUGGAGAAACUGAAACCCUUGUGCGCUGUUGGUAGGAAAGUAAAAUGGUGCAGCCACUGUGGAAAACAGUAUAGAGAGUCCUCAAAAAAUUAAGAAUAGAACUACCAUGUGAUCCAGCUAUCCCACUUGUGGAUAUUUGUGCAAGCAAGUUAUUUUAAGGUGACUUUAAUUCUGUCCAACUCUACAUUGCUUUAACCAUCUGGGUGGAACUAUUUCAGCAUUUCUCACCCCAUUUCCUUUUAUGGAAAAUAGCACAAACAAAGCAGAGGACUCAGAAAUUCUUUAGUCAAAUAAUAAGAACGGACCAUGCUGAAGUAAAACAUUGUGUUAAAAUACCAGAUGAACUUGAAAGUUAGACAGCAGUUUUAGGAGAAAUUAAUGUUCUGGAAAGACACUGGCUUGUAUGCAAAUGUAGUCUUAUAUAAUUGUUUCCUGUUUCGCUUUCCCUCUCACUCACCUGAGCUGAGUCAGUUAAAAAUUUGCCUUUACGGCCGGAAGGCUUGAGUCAGGAAUGAAAAGAAGGGAACCCUGAAAGAGCCUUCAAGAGGAAACUGCUGCCGAAACUUCAAACCCAGGUCCAAGGAGAUGUUGCAGCAAAACCCACUCAAUCUUUCUGCUGGCUGUUGCAGCGAUGUGACAGAGUUGGAC
rnacentral:lncRNA from 1 species